rnacentral:rRNA from 1 species
UGGGGAAUAUUGGACAAUGGGGGAAACCCUGAUCCAGCAACGCCGCGUGGGGGAUGAAGGUCUUCGGAUUGUAAACCCCUGUUGAGAGGGACGAAGGCUUGCGGGCGAACAGUCCGUAAGCUUGACGGUACCUCGAGAGGAAGCCCCGGCUAACUCUGUGCCAGCAGCCGCGGUAAUACAGAGGGGGCGAGCGUUAUUCGGAAUUAUUGGGCGUAAAGGGCGCGUAGGCGGCUGCGCAAGUCUCGGGUGAAAUCCCUCGGCUCAACCGAGGAACUGCCCUGGAAACUGCGCGGCUCGAGGCCGGGAGAGGAUGGUGGAAUUCCCAGUGUAGCGGUGAAAUGCGUAGAUAUUGGGAGGAACACCGGUGGCGAAGGCGGCCAUCUGGACCGGUCCUGACGCUGAGGCGCGAAAGCGUGGGGAGCAA